GCCCCGGCGGCGGACGACUGCGGGCUGCGCGCUGUGGGCAACCGGGGCUGCCGUCCCCGCGGUCCCUGCGGUCCCCGCGGUCCGCGCCGGGCUUCCGACUGCGCCCGUGCUCACUGCGCAGGCGCGCACCCGUGGGGCGGGGCCGGCCCGGGGAAGGGGCCGGACGGGGUGGGGCCUGCUGAGUGGGCGGGACCUAAGCGGGGCUGACCCGGGGAAGGGGCCGGAUGGGGGUGGGGGAGCCUGCGGGGUGGGCGGGUCCUUGGAAGGGGCCGGCCCUGGGAAGGGGCCGGUUGGGGUGGGGCCUGACGGGCGGGGGUGGGCCCUGUGGGUGGGCGGGGGGUAGGCGGGGCCGACCUGCGGAGCCGGGGAGCCGGUUCACGACCUGGGUCCGGCCGGCGGGUGGAUGGGUCGGGUGGUCCGACGAAGCAAGCACAAGACCUCCACACCACCGACGCAAGGUGUCUGCACCUGAGGGGCUCAGGCGCGUGCCUGUGCAGACGGACUCCUCCCACCGGCCCUGGGAUCUUGCCCGUUGUUCCGUGCGACCCGGCAAGCGUGCGGCACAGCCCCAAGUACUCAGAGUAGGGCCUGGAAGGGACCCCAUGUGGAGUCAGAGGGGCGGGGAAGGUGUUGGUGUCUCGGGGUUGUUCCCAGGGUGAGGUCCUGGGCCCCAGUCUGGGUGUGCAUGGCGGAGGAUAUGGCCGUGGGUCUGGGCGGGCCGGCCUCCCGCGUGCUCCCACCAGCUGUGCGUGGGCGGCUCUGUCUGCAGGGUCUUCGGAGACGCGGACGCCGGCCCCCGUCCUUAUCACCACAGGUCUCCCAGCCAGCGCUGGCCAGGGCCUUCAACCCAAGGGGACUCUGCUGCCCCGCCCGUUCGCGUGUUCUCCUUGCAGGAGGAGCACCCUCCUCAUCUUCCCCUUGCGGAGCCCAAGGGUUUUGCCUCCUUCCAUCCGGGCGACCCAACAGGAAAAUUUCAGGUGGAAAAAGCACGCCAUGCCGCAGUGGUCCUGCUGCUGGGCCCCACACCCGAAAUUCUACAGCGUCAGCGCCGAGGCCUCAGCCGCCAGCAACCAGCAUGAUUUCCUCUCCCACCACUGGCUCCACUCCCAGGGACAGCUCCACUGCUCCAGGCUGCCCAGGGCAGGCCUGGCCCUGAGCCCAGGACCAGAGCAGCGCCCUCCUCCAAGCACAGGUGAGGCCUCACCAUGGCAACGCCCUCCUCCAAGGACGGGGAGGGACACACAGAUCCAGCGUCUUUCAGUCUCUGUUGGGUCUGGGGGCAACGCAUUCCCCCCCAGACCUCCCAGCCACCUGGGGGACGACCGGAGUCUCAGUGUGGGCAUCCCCGGACUUGCGAAGGGAGCUUCCAGCCACACCACCCGUCCCACCCUGUGACAGGGCUCCACGCAGCCCCGCUGCCCUUGGCCCUCAGCCCUGGUGACGGAACGAAUCCAAGCUCAACCCACCAGCAGCGGGCCCCCCGAGUGGCCUGUUCCCACACAAUCACACUGUCCAAGCAUCGCCUAAAACCCCCGCUUAGGAGUGAAGGACUUUAGGACUCUCUGGUCUCACACGAAUACACUGAAAUCCUGCACGUCUCCAGGCGCACGAAGGCCACGCACGGGGUCAGGGAGAGCUGGUUCUUUCGGGCUGACACACACAAGGGUCAGUCUCACAGCCUGGCCCUGAGGGCGCCCAGAGGGCUGAGCUGAGACACAGACGGGCCUCCUCGGGCAGCCUUCUCCAAACUCCAGUCCAGCAAGUGGGCCUCCAGGCGGGUCUCUGUCUCGUUCCAGGCCUGAAUCUCCCUUUAUUCAAGCACCUUGGCCAACUCACCCCCAUGCCAGCUUCUAAAGCUUUCCACUGCCCUUUCCUCUGUUAAAGGGGACGCGUGCUGCUGCUGGGCACUCGAGAUGCCCUGCACGUGGGAUUCUUUAAUAAUGCUCCUCUGCUCUUGGCCUCCCCGUGUGGGCCUGCCUCUUUUCUCUGGGGUCUGUGUCCUUUGAUCUAACCACGCCUGAUUGAAACAAGUCCCAAGGACAGAGUUUAGGGCAGUCUUCAGGAGGCUUUCUCUUCUGAAGUCCCCACGGGGCCUCUGUCAUGUCAAAUCUCCCCCCGACAAGGACAUUAGGGCCCAGUCAGAUAAUCCAGGAUCAUCUCCUCACUGUAAGACCCUUAACUCAAUCGCAGCCGCGAAGUCCCUUCGGGCAGCAGCUCCACUCAGGGCACAGGGCGGCCAGCCACCCGCACACCGCUGUGCCCCUCGCAACUCCUGGCAACUGUGUUUAGGGGCUUCCGUCUCAGGACCUGUCUCAAGCCUCACGAGCGCUCUUGUGUGUGGGGGUCGCUCUCCAUCGGGUUUGCGGACGACAGACACUUCUGCCACACGUUCUUCCUUCCCAUGAGGAUCCCUGACCCCCUGGAAGGACACCAGUUACCAUCAAGGAGGGUCGGUGGUGACGAAUGUCCUCGGAGCUGGACCCUGGGAAGUGUCUCUUUUGACCUCGUCUCAAAGCACACUUUUUGCUGGGUUUAGACGACCUGGCUGACAGCAAUCGACUUUGUUUUCCUUUCCCUUCCUCUGGCUCUGGUAGCUUCUGAUGGAAGCUCGGUGCUCUUCUCGCUGUCUGGCUCUUUGAGGUAAGGGGUCCUUUUCUCCUCCAGCUGCGUUAAGGCUCCCCCUCUGGCUUUGCCAUCUGCACUUCACCUGGACGCUUCUGGGUUCUGCUGUCUUUGUCCUUCUCCUCCGGCUGCGCAGCUCGGGUCCAUGCAGUGGCUGGAUGGCGUCGGUCACUCUUGGAAAGUGAUCAGCUCCUCUAUGUCUUCACCCCAGGGGACAGCAGACAAGGGUGGACUCCGGGCGGGCUCUGCUGUCGAAGGAGGUCAAUGUGGGGGCCGGAGGCCCCUCCCUGAGCCCCGAGGUGUCUGGUGGAGGAAGUGAAGUGGCACAGAAACUCGCAGUGUGCGUGUGCGAUUCGAAGCUGAAACACUUACACUGCUGACCCCACCUCGCCCAACACACAGGCCAGGCUGCCCAGCCGUCCACAGAGAUGUCCGCUGCACUUCUCAAAAGCAGUGUAGACCCCGGACCACCCCGGUUGCUUUACAACAGCUCCUCUCUCAGAAAAACCGCAGGUCCCCACGCAGCUCUGGCCAAAUUCCUAAGAGCCACUAGCCCACCUUCCAAACGGGUCCACAUCUGGUCACCUCCCUGCACCAUCCAGUCGUCGCCGUUUCAGCCAUGGAGCAGCUACCCGGCCGGAGCGUUAGGCUACUUCCCGGCCAGCGGGACGACCUUCCGAAGCCUUGACACGACCCCCCAAGCGCUUUCCAAGAGCCGCCCAGUGCCCGCCGCGCGCGCGGGAAGGGACGCAGGGGCUCGGUUCCCGCCGCCGGAGGGGAAGGAGGGGCGCACACGGCCGGGAGGGGCUCCAGACGGGGGAGCAGGGCACAGCCCUCGGCCUAGAGACGCGCUCUAGCUUCCGACUGCGGGCGCCCACCGCCCGGGACCGGGACUGGGACCGUCCCCACCCGCCCCUCCGGCCGCGCUCCGGCCCCGCCCCGGCCACCACGCCAGCCCCGCAGCUGACCCCGCCUGCCGGGGUCCUGCCGAGCUCCCUCCCCGCGCCGGCGGUCACGUGGCGCGCGACCCGGAGGCGGAACCGGACGGCCGGGCGUGGACCUCGGCUCUCGGAGCGCAGAGCGCCGGGGGCGCCUGCAGAGAUUGG
rnacentral:lncRNA from 1 species